UACGGAGGGUGCAAGCGUUAUCCGGAUUCACUGGGUUUAAAGGGUGCGUAGGUGGGUUGGUAAGUCAGUGGUGAAAUCUCCGUGCUUAACAUGGAAACUGCCAUUGAUAUUACUGAUCUUGAAUUUUCUGGAGGUAAGCGGAAUAUGUCAUGUAGCGGUGAAAUGCUUAGAUAUGACAUAGAACACCAAUUGCGAAGGCAGCUUGCUACAGGGAUAUUGACACUGAGGCACGAAAGCGUGGGGAUCAAACAGG
rnacentral:rRNA from 1 species